rnacentral:lncRNA from 1 species
AGAAUUAAAUAAUAAAUAAAAAGCCUCCUACACAAGGCUGUAGAAACCCUGCUGCACCAUUAAUAAUGCGACGCAACCCUGGUCUCAUUAACAGGAGCCUUUCAGCAGGAAUUCAUCCAAGUCACCUCCAGAAGUGCCUUUCUGAGCCAGGGAGCAGCCCUGCAGCCCUCUCCAGACCAGUUUCUAGAGUCUAGACCUGCACUCUGCAGCCCAUUAGGUGCACCCAGCCCUGGAAGCCCCUUCGCAAGGUGAUGCCAGGACAACUUAUUGAGGAAGUGAAGCAAGGUAUGCCCUAGAGACCUGCUGGUGUGGCCUUAAAGAAUAAUCAUCCAUCAGCCCCCAUGCAACCCAAAUAACAGCCUCUUCUCCAGUCUGGUGGAGGACAGCAGGACAAAAUAGCUCCUGGA